ensembl:lncRNA
UGCGCCGCGGCCGCCCCGGAGCUCGGCGCCGAAGCCGCCGUCCCGCGGGCCGCGAACGGUGUUUGUAAUUUCUACGUUUUUACACGUUCGUUUAUUUGUUUUUAUUUUUCGCGCUCCGUGCUCCGCGCCGCGGGACGCGAAGGGCGAGGGGGGAAACGCAGCCGUCGCCUCGCCGUUUACUCGAGAGAAAUCGGGGCGAGCAGCGAGAGGAGCUCCCGAGCCCGGCCCCGCCGUGCCGCCCCGCCGCCGCCCGCAGGAAAAGCGGCCUUCUGGUUUGAGCGCGCGUGUGAUGGCGCUGCCUUCGAAAUACAGACGCUCCGGCUGAAAUCCGCAUCGACGCUUCUCGCUGCAGCCUCGGGGCGUCCGCGCUGUAAGGCUCCGGCCGUUCGUGCCGGCGCACCGAGACGCCGACUCCGGACUGCGUCACGGAGCAGCUUCAGCCGCACCGCCGCGCGCGUAGCCCGACCCCGGAUCCCGGUGCCCGCACCCGAGCGCGUUGCAGAGGGCCGCCCGGCGCUGGGUUUGAGAGCGGCCCGAGAAGGAGACGCCCUUAGGACGGAUCGUAGAUCGUAGACCGGGGAGGUUCCGGCGGGCACAGCGCGGCUCGGCUGGGAGCGGCACGGGGUGACGGCCGAGAGCCCCGGGCGCCCCGACGGCGCGGGCGGCCCUCGGCGUCACCGCGGCCCCUUCGGGGCUGAUCCCGUGGCCCCGGGUGGGCAGCGAGAGAACGAACCAACGUGUCCUUGGGCCAGAGGGGACGUGACACCGGCCGCCUGUUCUCCUGCCUCUCACGGCCCCGCAUCUUCCCAGCUCCCAGCGCAUUGAGCCCUAUCGUUUUGAUCCCUGGCAAUAAACUCAGGGCCUUCAGCAAUUAACUCACGCUCUUCAUCAAACUGACACUCCGUAUAGGGAAGGUUGUUAUUUCCUAGGUAAGCAGGACUUUAAGCUUAAAGGAGCCUAAAAGAGCAGUUUGAGAAAAAUGCGUCCUGCGGGCAGGGCCCUCAUCUCGGGGAUUUCAGGAGCGGCAGUUUGGCCCCUGCCCGGGUACGUCGUUCUGGCAGCCAACAGCCGUUAGGAGCCGAUCCCCCGCUCCAUGACACACUGCGUCGCUCGGUACUGCCCGGCGUGCAUUUGUGAGCCCCCGGGCCGUGCUGCCCGACCCCCGGCACUGGGAACGCUUCCCAGCCGAGCCGCGGGCGGCGGGAAGGUUCCCGUCCGUUGGGUGCUGCUCCCGGGGCCUGGCACAGCCGGGGGGCGGCUGCCGGAUUGCUGCCGGCUCCGCACGCCGGUGGGAGGGGGUUGCACCGCGUCCGUUGGUCGCUCUUGGCUGGGUUUUAUUUAUUUACUUUUUUUGCUCAACGGUUGCCGCUCUCUGUGUGAGGUCGACGCAGCCCGUGGCACCCCGCAGCAGGACGGGGGCUCCCCUUCCUCGGGGACGGCACCCGGCCGCUGUCUCGGCCCCAGGCGAGGGCUUCCGCGGCCUCCGCGGGGCCGGAGAUGGACGCGUACCGCCCGCGGAACCCGACCUGGGCGCGGCCAGGAACCCCCCCGGCUCGACCCCGCCGCCUUCGCCCCGCCGCCGGGCCUCGGCUCACCCCGAGCGGCUCCGGUCUCCUCCGAGCCCCCUCCCGGGCGCUGCGGGCGGGUUUGUCGCUGUCCCCACGUCACGCCCCGCCCGGGCUCUCGCGUGUCAUUACCCAAAUCCCAGCGAAGCGCCCGGCAGGAGCCGUCAGGCGCAGGCAGCCAGACAGUUUUCUUGUACUUUAUUAAAGUGUAAUCAAACAUCGGUUAAGUGGAAAAUAAAUAUCCAGAUCUAAUAAGCUGCUCAGUCAGAUCGUGUAAAUGCAAAUUACAAGCUGGUUCCCAUCUCCCCGCCAGGGGACCGAACAAGCCACAGCAAUUGCUUCAUCCACCGCGAUUGUAAAUCAACUAAAAUAAUGGCUGGAUAAUGACCGGUUUGCGGUUUCAAGCAGAUUGAAUGAUAACAAACCGCGUGUGCCGCACCGGCUUUGCAUUUAGCACUCAUCACGGCGCAGCCCGCACAGCCCGGCCGCCUCAUUAGGCUGUUGUCUGCGCUCCGGCGGCAGCCGGCACAGCGCUGCCAGAGCUCCUGCGAGGGAAGGGCGAGACAAUUCAAUCGGCCCUCCCCGCGAGGGGGGGACGCGCGGGGCCGUCGCGGUGAAUCGACGGCGGGGUGACGCUGCCCUAACGGGGCGAUAGGGAAACACGCGUGGGGAUGGGGGGACGGAGCGAUAGCCGCACGCAGCGCCCGGCCCCGCGGCGGGCUCCCUUCUGCUUUUUGGUGAUUUUUUUCCUUCUAUUUUUUUUUUCCUGCUGUUGAUUUAGCUGCUAAUUGGUGACAGAAAUUGUCAGCUAAGUGGCAGGUAGCGGCUCCGGUAGCUUCCACCCAGAAGGUGCGAAAAUCCUUUCAAAGCCGAACCGCUGCCUUAAAAAGGGAGAGGG